rnacentral:rRNA from 1 species
UACGUAGGGUGCAAGCGUUAAUCGGAAUUACUGGGCGUAAAGCGUGCGCAGGCGGCUUUGCAAGACAGAUGUGAAAUCCCCGGGCUCAACCUGGGAACUGCAUUUGUGACUGCAUGGCUAGAGUACGGUAGAGGGGGAUGGAAUUCCGCGUGUAGCAGUGAAAUGCGUAGAUAUGCGGAGGAACACCGAUGGCGAAGGCAAUCCCCUGGACCUGUACUGACGCUCAUGCACGAAAGCGUGGGGAGCAAACAGGAUUAGAAACGCC